rnacentral:lncRNA from 1 species
UGAGUGCGCCAAGUCCAUUUCUGCAUCCAUUUCGUGCAGAAACAACUCUGACUCAGUUCGACACUCACCAGAUGUGUCGACCAGUUACUAACACUGUAUCCAAUCCUAUCCAAACCUUCGGAACACUACAAUGCGGACCACCCCGGCCCGGCACGGCCUCGGGCCAGGCUACAGUCCGGCACGGGUACUGUAGAACUAGUACCGG